rnacentral:rRNA from 1 species
UGACGGAACUCUUCGGAGGGAAGGCAGCGGAAUGAGCGGCGGACGGGUGAGUAACACGUAAGGAACCUGCCUCAAGGAUUGGGAUAACUCCGAGAAAUCGGAGCUAAUACCGGAUAGUUCAUCGGACCGCAUGGUCCGUUGAUGAAAGGCGCUCCGGCGUCACCUUGAGAUGGCCUUGCGGUGCAUUAGCUAGUUGGUGGGGUAACGGCCCACCAAGGCGACGAUGCAUAGCCGACCUGAGAGGGUGAUCGGCCACACUGGGACUGAGACACGGCCCAGACUCCUACGGGAGGCAGCAGUAGGGAAUCUUCCACAAUGGACGAAAGUCUGAUGGAGCAACGCCGCGUGAGUGAUGAAGGUUUUCGGAUCGUAAAACUCUGUUGUAAGGGAAGAACACGUACGAGAGGGAAUGCUCGUACCUUGACGGUACCUUACGAGAAAGCCACGGCUAACUACGUGCCAGCAGCCGCGGUAAUACGUAGGUGGCAAGCGUUGUCCGGAAUUAUUGGGCGUGAAGCGCGCGCAGGCGGCCUUUUAAGUCUGAUGUGAAAGCCCCCGGCUCAACCGGGGAGGGCCAUUG